rnacentral:tRNA from 1 species
AGCUAAUGAACUUGUAUAAGUGUAUGUUUUGAAAGCAUAAAAAAGAAUCCAUCUUCUAUUAGCUU